UUAACUGUUUGUUAUUUUGCUCUUUUCUUCUCGCAGGCAGCCAGUGGGCAGUGCGUGGUUUUGGUCAGUGCUGCCAAUAACUGCGUGGACUGAUGACGCCUCGGGUGGACCGCAGCAGUAACCAACACUCCUGUCGAGUCUUCAUUUGUUCUCACCUUUUAUCUCCCAUCGCUUUUUCAUCUGUUUUCGUACAUAAAGGCCGCCUCUUAACAAUCACACCUUUAAGCAAGACGGAGGAGCAGCAGCAGCAGAGGCGCCUUAGGUCACAGAGCCCCACGCCUCGGACCAGAAAAAAAAGAGGCAGGAAAAAGGAGCGGAACCAAGACAACCGUAACACAACUGGAGGGGACUGAAUAGAAACGAGACAAAUUUCAGAUAACUUGGAAACAGAGGAAAUAAAGGACAAAUUCUGAGGGAUAUAUACAGAAUUCCAGACAUUUUGUAGGGAAAUCACACCCAAGACAACCAUAACGCAACUUAAAGGAACAGAAUAGAAACGAGACAAAUUUUAGGUAGCUUGAAAACGCAGGAAAUCAAGGAAACGCGACAAAUUCAAAUGGUUAUAUACUGAAUUCUAGAUAACUUCGGCAUAUCACAACCAAGAAAACCGUAACGCAACUCAAAGGAACCGAAGAGAAACGAGACAAAUUUCAGAUAACUU